rnacentral:rRNA from 1 species
UGCCGCGUGCAGGAUGACGGUCUUAUGGAUUGUAAACUGCUUUUGUACGAGAAAAAACACUCCUAUGUAUAGGAGCUUGACGGUAUCGUAAGAAUAAGGAUCGGCUAACUCCGUGCCAGCAGCCGCGGUAAUACGGAGGAUCCAAGCGUUAUCCGGAAUCAUUGGGUUUAAAGGGUCCGUACGCGGUUUAGUAAGUCAGUGGUGAAAGCCCAUCGCUCAACGGUGGAACGGCCAUUGAUACUGCUGAACUAGAAUUACUGGGAAGUAACUACAAUAUGUAGUGUAGCGGUGAAAUGCAAAAAUGUUACAUGGAAUACCUCUUGCGAAGGCAGGUGACUACCAGUUGAUUGACGCUGAUGGACGAAAGCGUUGGGAGCGAACGGGAUUACAUACCCUGGUAGUCCACGCCGUAAACGAUGGAUACUACCUGUUGGGAGCAAUUUCAGUGGCUAAGCGAAAGUGAUAAGUAGCCCACCUGGGGAGUACGUUCGCAAGAAUGAAACUCAGAGGAAUUGACGGGGGCCCGCACAAGCGUUGGAGCAUGUGGUUUAAUUCGAUGAUACGCGAGGAACCUUACCAAGGCU